ensembl:lncRNA
CCCACCCUGUUCUCGUGGGCAUAUGUAGGUAAAAAAUUGAAGCAGAACAAACCAGGCUCCAGCUUUGCUUGUCUUACAGGUGACAUUUUUACCUUGCGCUGGCUGUGAUCAAGGACCAGUCCAACAAAAGGAUUUGUUUCUCAUGGUUGGAGAAAAACGAAGUUGACAACACACCAGUGUUUAUAGUUGCUGCAAAGAAAGAAAGAAAGAAAGAAAGAAAGAAAGAAAGAAAGAAAGAAAGAAAGAAAGAAAGAAAGGAAGAAAGAAAGGAAGAAAAAGAAGAAAGAAAAAAAGGAAAAAAAGAAGAAGAAGAAAGAAAAAAAGGAAAAAAGAAAAUAUUGAAUCAAGGAAAGAAGUCUGUUAGCCAUGUGAUAAAAUCUAAGAUAUGACACUGAGAUUUUAUUGGCCAGAAAGUUUUGUACCAACUUGAGUAAUGGUCAUCACAGAAGUCUUAUGCAAAGAAAGCUUUACUGUUGUUUGAGGCUUCAUCCAAUAAAGGAAGAUUUAGCCAACAAAAUUCAAAUAGAAUGGUGAAGACACUAAGACAGAGAAGGAAAAGAUGAAACAGAAGAAACAACGUUUGGUUAAUUUCCACUGGGAUCCUCGUUCUACAUGCCCCAGGGGAGCAAAGGAAGGGAAAGGAGUGGUUAAAAAAAAAAAAAAAGGAAAGAAUAUGAGGUGUCUGUGAGCAGGAUAAAGGGAAGAAACCAGGACAAGUUCAACAGCAACAUAAUUAUCUGUCUUGGGAUGGGCUGUCAACUGAAGUGAUAAUACUCAGCUUUUU